AUGGAGGUCGAUGAAGAAGGUGUUGAAGAGCACGGCGGAUUCACUUCUAUGCCAAAUAAGGAGCAUCCUUCAUCAGAGCAAGUACGAUCACCAGCUUUGUCAUCAUUGGAAGACUCUGCUCCUCCCCAACAGGAUAAUGACAUUCCUCCUCCACCACCACCACCAGAAGAGGAAUGGAUUCCACCUCCACCACCGGAGAAUGAACCAGCUCCUCCACCUCCUCCUGAGCCUGAAGAGCCUGCUGUGUCAUUUGUUCAUGCUGAUACACUUCCUCAGCCAUACGGAGGUCAAGCAAACUUGGGUUAUAUGCUUCCAGGAAUGGAGUACUAUCCC
rnacentral:lncRNA from 1 species